AGAAUAAAUGAGUGAAUCCUUUUAUCCUAUUUUUAUCAUAUCUCUUCUCUUUCAUUACUAUUCUCCAGCUCCCUUUAUUUAGGUUUCUGCUAUCUUGGACUGUUUUUCACAGACUUCUUGAUGUUGAGCUUGUUGGCUGGAGUCUUCUGAAUGUUAAUUCUGGGAUGUUAGAACAUUUACAAAUAGGUACUAAUGCGUUUUCACUUCUACUAUACGCAGAGUCUUGAAGUUGGCAGCUAAAUAUUUGGGGUCAUAGAAGAUUCGAGGUGGAAAACACUUAAGAGACAAUCACAUCCAUGCCUUCUGACUCUGGAAAUCCUCUGCUUCACACAGAGAGCAGUUGAAAACAUUAGGAAAGCUUAACCGAAAGAACAAACCCAGGGACUACAUUGAUCGUCUUAAGGAAUGAAUGAAUCUUUAUCCCAAAUGCAAAGCAGGCUUUAAUCCAAGGACAAUAAAUGGUGAGACCAGCAUUCCAGGAACAAUCAUGGGCUUUCUCUGUGUGCUCACAGUGAAAACAGUCCCACAGGGCUUCAAAGAGAUACGUGGACUUCUUUUUCUCUUCUUAAGUAAACAAAAUUAAGAGCGAAUAAGCACUUCCUACAGCUGUGGAUGCCAGAAUUUCUCCCUACCCUAUCCCAACCCUGACCCCAAACAAGGAGCCGCCAUCAUCUUUUCUGGCUUAAAGCAGUGUGCACACAGUGACCUUGAGGUUGAACAUGAAGCUAUCUGGGCGCCCCAUGUGAAAAGCAAGGUUGAAAUAUUCUCCAGGGCAAAAUGAACUUUCCUAACCCCCCUUGUACCUCACUGCUUUUUUUCCUAUUCUUUGAAAAUAAAUACAUGUGUCUUUGAACAAACCCUAAUAUUGAUCAUGUGU